rnacentral:rRNA from 1 species
GGGUCUGUCCAUUGGUCGGGCUUUACGGUCCGUACUGGUGAGAUGGGUUCCUACCUUCUGAAUAACCGGCAUGCCAUUUAGUUGGUGCGCCCGGGAAGCAGAGCUAUUACCUUGAAAAAAUUAGAGUGCUUAAAGCAGGCUAUUGCUUGAAUAGAUUAGCAUGGAAUAAUAAAAUAGGACGGCAUGGUUCUAUUUUGUUGGUUUCUAGGAUCACCGUA